CGGACAGAGAGAAACGAAGUAGUGAUGCAGAGUAAAACUCAAAAAACGGUACUCAGUUCGGAUUNAAGGCUGAAAUUCGCCUUCAUGAAGCUGGAAUUGCUAGUAAUGGCAGGUCAGCAUACUGCCGUGAAUACGUUCCCGGGCCUUGUACACACCGCCCGUCACACCAUGAGAGUUGGAAAUACCCGAAGCCGGUGACCCAACCUAAACAGGAGGGAGCCGUCGAAGGCGGGACGGAUGACUGGGGUGAAGUCGUAACAAGGUAGC
rnacentral:rRNA from 1 species